rnacentral:rRNA from 1 species
CGACCUCAGAUCAGACGAGAGUACCCGCUGAAUUUAAGCAUAUCACUAAGCGGAGGAAAAGAAACUAACUAGGAUUCCCCUAGUAAUGGCGAAUGAAGCGGGAAGAGCUCAGCACCGAAUCCCGCAGCCUUGCGCUGCAGGGAACUGUGGUGUUUGGGACGUCUAUUGGCGCGAUGUCCGGGUGCCUAGGUCCUCCUGAUCGGGGCCUCUCCCAGAGCGGGUGUCAGGCCUUUACCGGCACCUGGCGUCGUGCCUCAGAGCGUCCUUGGAGUCGGGUUGUUUGAGAAUGCAGCCCAAAGCGGGUGGUAAAC